UACAGAGGUACCGAGCGUUGUUCGGAUUCACUGGGCGUAAAGGGUGCGUAGGUGGCAUGGUAAGUUUGAUGUGAAAGCUCAGGGCUUAACCCUGAAAUGGCAUUGAAUACUACUGUGCUGGAGGUUUGGAGGGGGGACUGGAAUUCUUGGUGUAGCAGUGAAAUGCGUAGAUAUCAAGAGGAACACCAGUGGCGAAGGCGAGUCCCUGGACAACACCUGACACUGAGGCACGAAAGCUAGGGGAGCAAACAGG
rnacentral:rRNA from 1 species